UACGGAGGGUGCAAGCGUUAUCCGGAUUCACUGGGUUUAAAGGGUGCGUAGGCGGGCAGGUAAGUCAGUGGUGAAAUCUUUGGGCUUAACCCGAAAACUUCCAUUGAUACUAUCUGUCUUGAAUAUUGUGGAGGUUUGCGGAAUAUGUCAUGUAGCGGUGAAAUGCUUAGAUAUGACAUAGAACACCUAUUGCGAAGGCAGCAAACUACGCAUAUAUUGACGCUGAGGCACGAAAGCGUGGGGAUCAAACAGG
rnacentral:rRNA from 1 species